UUAAAGGAAUUGACGGAAGGGCACCACCAGCAGUGGGGCCUGCGGCUUAAUUUGACUCAACACGGGAAAUCUCACCAGGCCAGGACACUGGAAGGAUUGACAGAUUGAGAGCUCUUUCUUGAUUCGGUGGGUGGUGGUGCAUGGCCGUUCUUAGUUGGUGGAUUGAUUUGUCUGCUUAAUUGCGAUAACGAACGAGACCCUCACCUACUAACUAGUCGAACUCCGGCAUCCUUGGUGCAGCCGGCGACUAACAAUCUUCUUAGAGGGACAGGCGGCUUCUAGCCGUACGAAAUUGGGCAAUAACAGGUCUGUGAUGCCCUUAGAUGUUCUGGGCAGCACGCGCGCCACACUGAAGGGUUCAACGUGUGUUUUCCCUAGCUCGAGAGGGCCGGGUAACCCGCUGAAUCUCCUUCGUGCUAGGGAUUGGGGCUUGAAAUUUUUUCCCAUGAACGAGGAAUUCCUAGUAAACGGGAGUCAUAAGCUCCCGUUGAUUAUGUCCCUGCCCUUUGUACACACCGCCCGUCGCUACUACCGAUUGAAUGUUUUAGUGAGGUCUUCGGACCAGUACGCGGGGACCUUCGCGGGACCCCGAUUGUACCGGAAAGAUGACCGAACUUGAACAUUUAGAGGAAGUAAAAGUCGUAACAAGGUUUCC
rnacentral:rRNA from 1 species